UCCCUACGGGACGCAGCAGUGAGGAAUAUUGGUCAAUGGCCGAGAGGCUGAACCAGCCAAGUCGCGUGAGGGAUGACGGCCCUACGGGUUGUAAACCUCUUUUGCCGGGGAGCAAAGAGCGGGACGCGUCCCGCCUCGAGAGUACCCGGAGAAAAAGCAUCGGCUAACUCCGUGCCAGCAGCCGCGGUAAUACGGAGGAUGCGAGCGUUAUCCGGAUUUAUUGGGUUUAAAGGGUGCGCAGGCGGUCUGUUAAGUCAGCGGUCAAAGCCCGGGGCUCAACCCCGGCCCGCCGUUGAAACUGGCAG
rnacentral:rRNA from 1 species